UGGACAUCUCUGGAGAGUGAUCUUCUCUUUUUGGCCACAGAAUAUCCCCCACACUGUGCCUCAACCCUGACCUGGAAAGACAACCUCUAGGGCUGAGUGGGUGCGCUCUCCAUGGCCUAUUCAGUCCUGGGCCUAA
rnacentral:sRNA from 1 species